GACAAUCCACAUGAUGCAAAAAGUCAAGUGGCACAGAGGCAAUGUGGGAGCCAAACACACUGAGAGGCGAACACAUCACAAAGAUGAUGCUUGAAUCAGGCCUGAGAGACUCCUAUCGAUUUCUAUAUUUUUCCUGGAGUCAUCAUCUUAGUCAUUUCAUAUUUUCAGAAUUUUUAGAAUAUGACACAUCUUCCAUCCUAUGAUAUGUUACAGAUGACAUUUUUUUUAAUAAAAAGAAUUAGAUACAUACUCCUCAAAACAUGUUCCUCUCAAAAACUGUUAUGCAGACCACAAGAUGGCACCAAAGGAUUUAAAAUCAUAAACCUUGAAGGAGGAAGCAAGAAAAAAAACCUUGAUGGGAAUUUCAUCAGGAAACUCUAUUGUUCACCUUCAGAGAAACAGUAAGACUGUAUGUAUGGGAAAUGGUCGACUUCAGGGAGAGGUUUCAAGGGUAGCCAAAGCAUGUAACAUUAGCAUGGCUUAAAGGGCUCUGCAGAAAAGUCUCUCUGUGAGUAUGGAGGCAGGCACUCCUUAAGAGAAAUAUAUGCAUAAAUCAUUCUCCUUUGAACCAGCGUGUUCGUAAAAGCUGAAAAAGAUUCAAGGUUGUAAUCCUGCACAGAAAAUUAGAUGCAAAGGUACCGUCAGAAGCUUUUGCACUGGGUCUCAAAUCUUAUGUGUCUUCUCUUCCUUAAA